rnacentral:lncRNA from 1 species
GUUUCAUGUACAUACUUCCCUUCGCCACCUCUAUCUGUCAUUACCUUCAUGUCAGCCAUUUGAAAUACUUGUUUUUAUUUAAAUAUGAAUGCUAAUACAAAGUGACCUAGGAGCACAUCUAUGCCAGGGCAGCAGAGAAACAGUUUGGAGUGAUCAGAAAUGUUAUUAAUUUUAAGAUAUUUUAAAUGUUAUCAAUGAUUCAAACAGACAACAAAAGGGCCAGAUCAAUGAAUGGACCAGAUGGUCAGUCAUUGUUUAAAGAAUGUUCGUCUGCACAUUCAUCCAAAUUCUUUUCCAAGCUAAUAAUGAAGAUGAAAGUUUUUAUCUUUUUUUUAUGUGCAAAUCCAUGUCCAGGACAUUUGGUUCUGAAUGCUUCCUGUUUGUUUCACCGGAAUGCCCAGAUUCCACCCAUCUCAGUUUUUUGAGAAUCCAGAAUAGCAAGGUUGCAAAAGGCACAAUGUCUGAAUAGUUUGCAGAUGUGUCAGUCUGAUAUCAUUCUGAGUGGACAUACACAUGCAAAACAAGUGUAGUUACUUGAAUCCUACAGACAGUAUGUCAAUAGAAGCUUGUAUGUUGUGCUUAUUCAACACUCUCUCUAUGGCGGCAGCUGAAGCAUGUGAAAAGGGAAGUGGAAUUAUCUCGGAGGCGCAGCCUGAGGCUCAAGGCUCAGGUGGAUAAACUGGAACAGCAGAAUGAUAGCGGACCCGGCUGGAGUGAAAACAGACAACGGGUGGCAGAGGAGAUUCAGUCUGUUGUAAAGCUGCUACUCCCUCUGACAGACUUAGAGUCAACAGAAGCCGAUCAGCCAUCCCAGGCUAACCCUUUAGACAAGACACUGCUUCAACUGCAGAAAGUGGCCCGGAGUCUCGCCAUUAACACCUCUCAGGGAAAUAAAUCUGGGGAAGAUGCUGCCAUUUUACAGCAAGCUCUACGGGACAGAGAUGAAGCCAUUGCAAAGAAACAAGCAAUGGAGACUGAGCUACUGAAAAGCAAAAACGAACUAAUGACACUGAACAAUCAACUUCUGGAAGCUGUUCAGAGUCGACUAGAACUGUCCAUGGAGCUGGAGGCCUGGAAAGUAUGUUUAAUUGCAUUUUUUAUUAUCAGUAAAAAAUGCUAAAAAUGUACCUACUUUUGCUUUUGAAUAUUUGUCUAAAGUAAGAAGGAAAGA